AGCAGCCGCGGUAAUUCCAGCUCCAAUAGCGUAUAUUAAAGUUGUUGCAGUUAAAAAGCUCGUAGUUGAAUUUCGGGAUCAGUACGCUGGUCGUGCCUUUGGUAUGUACUGGUGUCACUGAUUCCUCCCUUCUGAAGAACCGUUAUGCCAUUUAUUUGGUGUGGCGGGAAAUCAGGACUGUUACUUUGAAAAAAAUUAGAGUGUUUAAAAGCAGGCUCGCGCUUGAAUACAUUAGCAUGGAAUAAUGAAAUAGGACGUUUGAUCUUAUUUUGUUGGUUUCUAGGAUCGACGUAAUGAUUAAUAGGGAUAGUUGGGGGCAUUAGUAUUCAAUUGUCAGAGGUGAAAUUCUUGGAUUUAUUGAAGACUAACUACUGCGAAAGCAUUUGCCAAGGAUGUUUUCAUUAAUCAAGAACGAAAGUUAGGGGAUCGAAGACGAUCAGAUACCGUCGU
rnacentral:rRNA from 1 species